rnacentral:rRNA from 1 species
GAUGAACGCUGACAGAAUGCUUAACACAUGCAAGUCGUACGGCAAGCUGCUCUUGCGCUGUCUUGCCAAGGCGGACGGGGGAGUAACGCGUAAGGAACUUCCCCUGCUGCCAUUUCGAACAGACUGAAACAACUGAUAACACCCUGUAAUCUCAGGCUGGCGCAUGCCGACCGGAUGAAAGGGGCGGCUGCUGUAGAGCCGUGCGUGCUGUUAGCUAGUUGGUGGGGUAAGGGCCCACCAAGCCGAUGAUAGGUAGCCGGCCGGAGAGGGUGAACGGCCACAAGGGGACAGAGAUACGGCAGUGACUCAUACGGGAGGAAGGAGGGGGGAAUAUUGGACAAGGGGGGCAACCGUGAUCAAGCAAUUCUGUGUGCAAGAAGAAGGUUUUCGGAGUGAAAAGCGCUUGCAGCAGAGAAGGAGAAAGUGACGGUACCUGCAGAAGAAGCGACGGCUAAAUACGUG